rnacentral:rRNA from 1 species
AGUGAACGCUGGCGGCAGGCCUAAUACAUGCAAGUCGAACGGCAGCACAGCAGAGCUUGCUCUGUGGGUGGCGAGUGGCGGACGGGUGAGGAAUACAUGGGAAUCUGCCCAGUCGUGGGGGAUAACGUAUGGAAACGUACGCUAAUACCGCAUGCGCCCUACGGGGGAAAGUCGGGACCGCAAGGCCUGGCGCGAUUGGAUGAGCCCAUGUUCGAUUAGCUAGUUGGCGGGGUAAAGGCCCACCAAGGCGACGAUCGAUAGCUGGUCUGAGAGGAUGAUCAGCCACACUGGAACUGAGACACGGUCCAGACUCCUACGGGAGGCAGCAGUAGGGAAUAUUGGACAAUGGGGCGAACCCUGAUCCAGCCAUGCCGCGUGAGU